GACGAACGCUGGCGGCGUGCUUAACACAUGCAAGUCGAACGGUGAACCAGAGCUUGCUCUGGGGAUCAGUGGCGAACGGGUGAGUAACACGUGGGCAACCUGCCCCAGACUCUGGGAUAACCCCGGGAAACCGGAGCUAAUAUCGGAUAUGACCACUUCGGACAUCCGAUGGUGGUGGAAAGUUUUUCGGUCUGGGAUGGGCCCGCGGCCUAUCAGCUAGUUGGUGGGGUAAUGGCCUACCAAGGCGACGACGGGUAGCCGGCCUGAGAGGGCGACCGGCCACACUGGAACUGAGACACGGUCCAGACUCCUACGGGAGGCAGCAGUGGGGAAUAUUGCACAAUGGGCGAAAGCCUGAUGCAGCGACGCCGCGUGAGGGACGACGGCCUCGGUUGUAACGUCUUCUAGCAGGGACGAAGCGAAAGUGACUGUACCUGCAAAGAAGACA
rnacentral:rRNA from 1 species